GUGUCAGCAUGUCUUUCUCAUUAACAAAGCUAAGAAAGAUUUCUUGAGAUUGGUAUAAAGUUCACAAAGAUUGAAGAAUUAUAAACAAAGUCAUCACCUGAGAGUAACAGAAGUGGGAAUGAUGUUGGAAUUUUGAAGAGAGAAGUUAUGAAACGGCCAAGAGAGAAGAACAAAUGGAAAAGACUUCUUACAUCCAGUAUACCAAUAUAAGAACACCUCACCUGAUGCCAAAGAUAACAGACAACUCAGCAGAGCUGGCUGCCUUGACAGUGUAUCAACAACAGAGUUGAUCUGGCUCCUGAUGAUUUCAGCAAACCCAUUAUUAAAUUUUUAUUAGCCAAUGAUGAAUAAACAGGUUUGGAG
rnacentral:lncRNA from 1 species